GACAGAGGUGCCAAGCGUUAGGCGGAGUCACUGGGCUUAAAGCGCGUGUAGGUGGCGGCCUAAGUACCUUGUGAAAUCCUGCGGCUCAACCGCAGAACUGCUUGGUAUACUGGGUCGCUUGAGCCAUCCAGGGGCAACUGGAACAAGCAGUGGAGCGGUGAAAUGCGUAGAUAUCGCUUGGAACGCCAAAGGUGAAAACAGGUUGCUGGGGAUGCGCUGACACUGAGACGCGAAAGCCAGGGGAGCGAACGGG
rnacentral:rRNA from 1 species